rnacentral:rRNA from 1 species
UUUUACGGAGAGUUUGAUCCUGGCUCAGGACGAACGCUGGCGGCGUGCUUAACACAUGCAAGUCGAACGAUGAAGCCCAGCUUGCUGGGUGGAAGAGUGGCGAACGGGUGAGUAACACGUGAGUAACCUGCCCUGAACUCUGGGAUAAGCACUGGAAACGGUGUCUAAUACUGGAUACGACCUAUCACCGCAUGGUGUGUAGGUGGAAAGAUUUAUCGGUUCUGGAUGGACUCGCGGCCUAUCAGCUAGAUGGUGAGGUAAUGGCUCACCAUGGCGACGACGGGUAGCCGGCCUGAGAGGGUGACCGGCCACACUGGGACUGAGACACGGCCCAGACUCCUACGGGAGGCAGCAGUGGGGAAUAUUGCACAAUGGGCGCAAGCCUGAUGCAGCAACGCCGCGUGAG